UCUUUCCCAGAUUAAGAUAUUCAAAUUGACAACCAUAAAAUUAAAGACUAAUCAUGAUAUAACUAUUUGCAAAAAAAUAAACUAUUCAUGGCUAGACCAAAAAUGUAUAACCACUUGUUCAUGAGAGCAUACAAUAAGAAAUCAAAGGCACAUCUUAAUAAAGUCAAAUUUAAACCCAACCUUAAAUAAAAUAAACAUUCAUCAAGCUUGAGGAAAUGACAUAAGCUCAACAGCCUUUUGGGCCUGAAAUUUGGCCCUAAUGGCAAAGAGUGACUUUCAGACAAAGAUAAGCCCAAAUGUAACUUUCAACAGGUUGAUUUUGCUUAAACUUAACCAAGCCCAAACCAAACAUUCAAAUAUCUGAAAUUACAGUACGAAAAGGCUUAAAUUGAUGAAAAACUAUUCAUAGAAUUUUACCUUAAACUUACCAAGAACACACACUCAGGCCCAUCAACUGCAGCCUAGCCUGUGAAACGUAAGUUCAGAUUCAAACAUUUAGACAGUCCUAUUAUUACACGACUCUUAGUAUUGAAUAAAAAACUUUACAUCAGUAACGAGCUCUGCUUUGUUAUUAAUUCAUGCUAUUGCCUUUUUGAAACAAGUAUAGCUAAAUGAUCAACUAAUUUUAUUCUAAUCCAUCUAUUUUUUUCCAUAGAAAAAUUCUUUCAUUCUUUAUAGUUUCUGAUACACUCAAUCAUCUAUUGUUACCCCCAUUUAUUUGGUCUUUUGAGGAUAAUAAUAAGUUGUAAGAAACAGUUCAAAGGUCCAGCGUAUUAAAUAAUGUUAUCUAAUACUCUUAUCCUAUAUUCAGUUUUUAGCUUACUUUAUCAAAGACAAUUCUGAUAAAGUUAAACUAUAUAACAAACACCAGUUACAUAAUAUCACCAAAGGAUUCUUGUGAGCUGUCUUGCUUUUUGUGAUUAUUGAGAACUAUCCCACAGUCCCCCACCCUCAUUUGCCCAGCUUUUUCUCCUUUUAUUGGAUGGAUGGUUCUUGGGAGCUGGUGACGCCAUUGUAAUAGUAUAAACUAGAAAUAUUACUACAAAGAUAACAUUAGGCAAGAAUGUGAUUGAUUGUUACCAUGGAACUAAAUACAGCUUUAUCUCCAUUAUUAUCAUUCAACAGCACAAAAACCCCACAGCAGAAAGGGAAUCCUCAUCUGUAUAUGAUGACCAAAACAGGAAUACUCCAUAUCAUAAGCCUUAAGAAGCAAGUCUAUAGUAGAUUUGAACCUUGAGUCUUGUUAAUUGAGUCGUUAUUAUCUCAAUUUAUAGUUAAAGGAAAAACCAAGAGCCCAGUACUAUUGUCCUAUAUUCAUUUUUAGCAUACUUUAUUACGAUUGUCCUAUAUUCAUUUUUUAGCAUACUUUAUCAAAGACAAUUCCGAUAAAGUUUUCGACUGUAACAAACACCAAUUACAUAAUGUCACCUAAGGAAGAUUCUUGUGAGACAUCUUGCUUUUGUGUGAUUAUUGAGUACCCCAUUGCUCCCCCACCCCAUCCACCCUCAUUUCCCUAGUUUUUUAUCCUUUGAUCGAAUGGUUCGCGGGAGCUGGUUAUGCCUUGUAAUACAAUACUAAUAAGAUAACUAUAAAUAUCAUUACAAGGAUAACAUAAGAAAAUAAUGUGAAUGAUUGUUACCCUGGAAACUAAAAACAGCUUUAUCUCCAUAGCCAUAUCAUAAGCCUUAAUAAGCCUUAAGAAGCAAGUCUAUAGUAGAUUUGAACCUUGAGUCUUGUUAAUUGAAUCGACUAUUACAAAAUUGUAUGCUAGUAGAAGAUCCUUGCUCCUUUCGAAGAUGGGUUUUUUCAUAUCAGCUUCGUCUUCUUUUGUUACCAUGGAAAUUCCACCUAAAAGCUUCUAAGCCAAUUGAUCAAACCAACUAGUGGCUGAACGAAGAGGUUAUAGCUCAUGACAAAGUAAAAAAAGAAAGGUUUUUAAGUAAGGAAAAUCAAAUGGAGGAGAAGAAAAAUAUUAUUUAAAGAAGCAUGGACUAUAUUCUUGACGGAGUGUUUUAAUAUGAAUUAAUACAAUUGAUAUUGAGCCUUAACAUCAUUCUUUCACGCAAUUGCAAUGCAUACCAAAAUACAAAUAAGUUAUUAAAUAAACACAUUGCUCAUGUUAACACACUGGCCAUUACACUAUCCAAAGGCAAAAACAAAUCAAACAAUACCUGAAAAACAACUCAUUCAUUGCACAACCAUUUUCAAAGGUUUGACAUCUUCUUAAACUCAUGUACAAGAAAACUACAUAGAGUUCUAAGUAGUACCACAAAUAUUAAGGAUUUAGCAAAAAACUAGAAGAACAAAUUUCUGAGAACCCAAAAGAGAAUAGCAGCACAGCAGCAACAGAUAUAGCCGAGCAACCUAGGAAAUCAUAAACCUCAAACCCCAAAAAUGAAUACAUGAGAACAGAGAGACAAGCUAAUAGACCCAGAACUUCUAUCUUCAAACCAUGUUUCAAAAUUUGUGAAGAGUUAGGAAAAAUUUUAAGUUUUUCAAGCUAUAAUAAGUAUGAAACUUUUCAGCGGAUUAAUAGAAGUUUCAGAAAAAUUACUAAUGAAAAUAUGCCUGAGAAACUGUCUUUUUUAGAUAAAUAGAGACUAUAUAUAGUUGUCUGGGGGAGGGCAUCUUUUAGCAUAUUCCUUAUCUUAAAGAAUAAUAGUACAAUCCUUUUUGAAAGCCCUUGGUACAACUGUUUCAUUUUCAGCAUAUUUUUUAAAACAGCUAGGACAGUUGUACACUCUUCCUAACACAUCUGAUUUUCCGCCUAUGUAAACAUCCCUUUUUACCCUUUAGUUUAUCACAUAUUUUGGGUUUUACCAAAACAUUCUAAUUCAAAAAGGUCCCUAGAGUUCAUACUUAUUCAUUUAAGCCUUAAAAGUCUUGAAGAAUCAAAAGACAGACUAACACUUCUCUAAUGCAAAUAGAAAGCAAAUUGAAUAUCACUUGGAACUCACAUUUAACAAAUAUCCAAUAAUGAAAAACCUAUUUCAAAUUUAUAAAAAAUAAGAAAGGAAUCAAAUGAUGCUAAAAAUACUAACCUUAACAACAGACCAACUGAAAAAGGAAACUGAUGCCCUAAUGGAUAUUAAAACCAUAUUGAACUGGAAAAUUAAUUGAUCAAACUAUUACUUUAUUAACUGGAAAAAACACGGGAAUAAGAAAAGUAAUCAAACAUUGUAUAAUCUUAAUUUUAGCCCUACUUUAUCUAAGAUAGUUAAGACUAAUUAUCAUGUUAAGCAUGAAACUAAUUCAUAACAAAUUCUAGGUUAACAGGGAAUCAACAGGCAAAAUGAACAAUGUAUCUAAACGUGAAUGAAAAAUGCUAAUUACCCUACAAAUUAGAAUGACUCUUGAAUUAAACUACAUUAACAAACUAAAUGAAAUUUCAAGCAAGGAAACGAAAUGAUUCUGAGACAAUCUAAUUUUCCCUAGAACAAAAUUACCAAUUCAAACAAUUCAGAGAACAAUCAGUUUUCAACAGCACUUAGAAACAAAUUUUAACAGAAAUUAGAAAUCAAUCUCUAACAGAACUCAUAAAUCAAUCUAUGAAUCAAGACUGACUCAACCCUUUGAAAAAAGAAAGAAGAGAAGGAAAAGGGAAAAGAAGCGAUGGAAACUUACCAAUGAGGAAGAACAAUCGUCAAAAACCUUGGACUCUACCCUUGCCUUGUCCAACAGAUAUCUUUUCUCUCAAGAGAUCCAACCUUGCAUAGCUUCACUGGAUCUAAACAAGGGAAAAGACUUCUAGGAGCCUUGAUUUUAAAGGAAAAGAAGAGCAAAGGAACUCUGGGAUCAGUUUGGGGUAAUUAGGAUUUUUUUAUCGGACCAUUGAUCCAAAAUUCAAAAUGUUCAGCCAUGGUUCUAGAGGAACUAGCUGGGGAUCCAUAGAGAGGGAAUAGAAAGGAGUUUGGGGUAUAAUUUUAGGGGGCUUUGGACCGUUUAUGAUGUUUGAUUGAAUUUUCGAUCCAAGAUUUAAAAAGCUUAGGUCUGAUUCGAGGGAAAGGGAGUGGAGAUAUAGGAUGGAGAGAUGAAGAGGAGUUUGUGGUAUCAAAUUUGGGUUGAUUUGCACAUAGGAACCGCCGUGAGGCAAUUUUCAGUGGGCGGUUUGCGGCGGAAGCGAUGUGGGUUUCAUGGGCAGCUAGGGUUUUGUUUUCUGAGAGAAUGGAGAGUGAGAGAGUUAGUUAAGGGGGGUUGGUCUUUCUUCAGACACUUUUCUGGUAUGAGACACAAUAGCUCCGAGUCAUUGGAUGAUAGAAAUCCAACGGUUGUGAUCAAAUAGGCAUAAAACGUGGUUGUUUGGGAGUUAUACA
rnacentral:lncRNA from 1 species